GAUGAAGAACGUAGCGAAAUGCGAUAAGUAGUGUGAAUUGCAGAUUUCAGUGAAUCAUCGAAUCUUUGAACGCACAUUGCGCCCGCCAGUAUUCUGGCGGGCAUGCCUGUUCGAGCGUCAUUUCAACCAUCAAGCCCCAGGCUUGUGUUGGGGACCUGCGGCUGCCGCAGGCCCUGAAAACCAGUGGCGGGCUCGCUAGUCACACCGAGCGUAGUAGCAUACACAUCGCUCAGGGCGUGCUGCGGGUUCCGGCCGUUAAACCCCUUUUUUACCCAAGGUUGACCUCGGAUCAGGUAGGAAGACCCGCUGAACUUAAGCAUAUCAAUAAGCGGAGGA
rnacentral:misc_RNA from 1 species